GGGGUGGUGGCGCAGUUGGCUUGCGCGUAGGUCUCAUAAUCCUGAACUCGAGAGUUCGAGCCUCUCUCACCCCA
rnacentral:tRNA from 1 species